rnacentral:rRNA from 1 species
GAGCGAGUCUGCCUUGAAGAUCUGAGUGCUUGCACUCUGUGAAACAAGAUACAGGCUAGCGGCGGACGGGUGAGUAACACGUGGGUAAACCUGCCCCAAGAGAUCGGGGAUAACACCUGGGAAACAGAUGCUAAUACCGGAUAACAACAGAUGAUGCCUAUCAACUGUUUUAAAAGAUGGUUCUGCUAUCACUCUUGGGAUGGACCUGCGGUGCAUUAGCUAGUUGGUAGGGUAACGGCCUACCAAGGCGAUGAUGCAUAGCCGAGUUGAGAGACUGAUCGGCCACAUUGGGACUGAGACACGGCCCAAACUCCUACGGGAGGCAGCAGUAGGGAAAUCUUCCACAAUGGACGCAAGUCUGAUGGAGCAACGCCGCGUGAGUGAAGAAGGGUUUCGGCUCGUAAAGCUCUGUUGUUGGUGAAGAAGGACAGGGGUAGUAACUGACCUUUGUUUGACGGUAAUCAACUAGAAAGUCACGGCUAACUACGUGCCAACAGCCGCGGGUAAU